rnacentral:piRNA from 1 species
GACGAGGUCUGUCUGUCUAGAGUGG